rnacentral:rRNA from 1 species
AGCAGCCGCGGUAAUUCCAGCUCCAAUAGCGUAUAUUAAAGUUGUUGCAGUUAAAAAGCUCGUAGUUGAAUUUCGGGGGUUAGUAAGUUGGUCAUGCCUUCGGUAUGUACUGGCUUUACUGAUUCCUCCUUCUUGACGAACCGUGAUGUCAUUAAUUUGGUGUUGCGGGAAAUCAGGACUGUUACUUUGAAAAAAUUAGAGUGUUUAAAGCAGGCUAACGCUUGAAUACAUUAGCAUGGAAUAAUGAAAUAGGACGUUAAUCCUAUUUUGUGGUUUCUAGGAUCGACGUAAUGAUUAAUAGGGAUAGUUGGGGGCAUUAGUAUUCAAUUGUCAGAGGUGAAAUUCUUGGAUUUAUUGAAGACUAACUACUGCGAAAGCAUUUGCCAAGGAUGUUUUCAUUAAUCAAGAACGAAAGUUAGGGAUCGAAGACGAUCAGAUACCGUCGUAGUCUUAACCAUUAAACUAUGCCGACUAGGGAUCGGAUGAUGUUUAUUUUUAAUGACUCAUUCGGCGCCUUACG